CUGAACCAGGCAGUGAGGUGAAAAACUCCCUCUCCAUCUGCAGGGAUCCAUCUUUUCCCAGCCACUGCAGCAUCCCUACCCAGGGCAGGUUAUGCUAACACCAUCAAUAGCCCCACCAGUCAGUUUGCAAACUGUGCUGCCAGCCCAUAAUGACCUGCUAAAAAUACGGCGAAUGAUUCAUCUCCUGAUCUAUGGAAACGGUAGUUAUUUGUUCUUGGCAGCUCCCCUGGGUUUGCUCUGGGCUGCAGGAGAUGACAAGUACCAGCAGAUCAAGGGAUACUGAGGGGAUGUUUCUCCCUUGUGUUUCAGGGGUAUGAAAACAUUUGCCACAAGGUGGGCCGUCAGGAGGAAGGGGUGAUGAAGAGAAGGAUCCUGGCUGGAGCACAUACCCUGAACCCAGGAAUGGGAGCUGCGCCCCACGUGGGACUCCUCAUAUUUGAGCAAUGUGGACCAGAAAAGAAACAUGGAGCAAGAAGUGGGAGCUUCAGAUCUCUUUUCCACAAAUAUUUAACCCAAAAGGUUAACUCCGAACCAAAGGAUUUGGAGAACCACAA